rfam:Brachypodium distachyon strain Bd21 chromosome 5, whole genome shotgun sequence.
AAACCAUGGUGAGGACACAUUCUCAGCAGAGUUUGGUAUAUGUUCCAAGUAUCAUACAAACUUUCAUCAUGAAGCUGCACAAAAUUAUUGAUCUUAUCUCUGUAUUC